GGCCGUGUGGCGAAAUGGCAUCGCGUCUGACUACGACUCAGCGCGAAUCAGGAGAUUGCAAGUUCGAUCCUUGUCUCGGUCA
rfam:Hebeloma cylindrosporum h7 unplaced genomic scaffold scaffold_8, whole genome shotgun sequence.